GAGUUUGAUCAUGGCUCAGAACGAACGCUGGCGGCGUGGAUAAGGCAUGCAAGUCGAACGCGAAAGCCGACCUUCGGGUUGGUCCGGUAGAGUGGCAAACGGGUGAGUAACACGUGGGCAACCUACCUCGAAGUGGGGGAUAACCCGUGGAAACACGGGCUAAUACCGCAUGUUUUUGUGGGAUCGCAUGAUUCUACAAAAAAGAUGGGGAUUCUUCGGAACCUGUCGCUUUGAGAUGGGCCCGCGCCUGAUUAGCUAGUUGGUGAGGUAACGGCUCACCAAGGCUUCGAUCAGUAGCUGGUCUGAGACGGAUGGUCAGCCACACUGGGAUUGAGAUACGGCCCAGACUCCUACGGGAGGCAGCAGUCUAGAAGCUUCGGCAAUGGGCAAAAGCCUGACCGAGCGACGCCGCGUGCAUGAUGAAGGCCCUCGGGUCGUAAAGUGCUUUCGGCAGGGAUGAAACCGUCGGGGUAAAUAGCCCCGGAUGACUGACAGUACCUGCGGAAGAAG
rnacentral:rRNA from 1 species